GGUGACAAGAGCAGCUCUCUGUCCCUUCCCUUCUCCAAAUGCUGCAAGAAGUGGGAUGUGAGCUCUCAAAUGUCACAGAAGCCUACAAAAUGCUGACUCCCGGAUGCCGUGCAUAACUGGGGUUGGCUCAGAACGUGGAGACAGGGCAACACCAUCAUCUGCUAAGAAUUCAUUGUUCUGCAGCUUGCCCUGGACACAAUGAGAGAGAGAGAAGUAUGGACAUUUAGACCUCAACUGGAGGCAUUGAUUGGAAGGAUUUCUCCCAGAGUUGGCCCACUCGGAAACCAGGCAUGUACUGGUUCCCAUCUGGCUGCACAUGAGAAUCAUCUGGGAAGCGCAGGAAAACCAGGACAAGGCCACACCCCUGGAGACGCUCGUUCAAUUGGUCUGGGCACCAAGGCCUGAGACCCACUGAGUGGGAACAUGAGCCAAGGUUUGUGACCUGAGACCAAAUAUUUUCAGACACUGCAACAGCAAAACCAACAAAUGCCUCUUGAAUGUCUGGGAGAAAAGGCAGGAGAUUCACACAUUUUGCAGUGUGUAGAUGCUAUCUUGGUGGAUGGAGGAUUUCCCCUCAUCCUAAGGAGGAGACUGAGAUGUACAGAGGAGAUUUUUAUCUCGAGAUAAAUGUUACCGAACUGAAGAGGAUCUUUGAACAUCUUUCCCAGGAAGGGCAUGAGAUGGGUGUGGCUACAUAAUGAAACAUUAUUUGUCUGAAAACAUCUUUCUCAUCCACACUCAUGGCUUUGCAUAUGACAAUUUCUCCCACCGUUGACUUUUGGCCUUGUAGUUGAUGAGACACCUGAAGCUAGACUGACUCCAGCUGUCUCUUAUUUCAUAGACACCAUGUCAGCUUGAGUCUUGAAGACACCAUUUAGAGAUGAUCCAACCUCUUUGCUUCUCAGGACUAUGGACAGACACUCAUUGGGAUUCCUCAGGAACAUUCUUCUCAUAUAAUACAUCUGUUCAUGUGGCAAUUUCUUUCAUCAUCAUCUGUAUUGAGAAAGAUCUACUUUGUCCAGUGCCAUGUGAAGUUAAGGAGGGCUCCAUGCAAGACUUUAUUCAAUAUUGGGCCAGGCAUCCAUACCAUGCAAGGAAUGACAGCAGACUGGGUUCUGCACUCAUUGUUCCUGGUGUCCUUUCUUGAGGUGUUGAUAGGACACAGAUGGUCCAGCCACACCCCAUACUUUGGCCUUCUGAGAAUUCUCAGCAGGAAAGGAGGAUAGAUCUCACUGGCACACCUUGGAGGCCACCUUUCAGGUCAAAAGAAUAUAUCAGUGAAUGUUUUCUGAGAAUGCCCUGGUUAAAAAUUUCCUGCCUUUCCCCAAAACUCAUAGGUGAUCCCAUGUGGGGUGUGUCCGGGGAUCCACUCAUGUAAGUUCACCGACGCUGUUUUACCUCACCUGGUACCUCCCCUAACUGUGAAUUCUUUUUAACUCCUACUUCUCCACUUUGUUCAACUGGAUAAUUUUAUUUUGUCAAGAGUCUUGCAGAGACCACAUUGCAUUAUCUUGACAGCACGUUCCUGAUAGCAUUUCUCUCACCAGUCCUACAACACUAAAAAAGGAAGCAAAGUUAGUCUCACUGGCUCUCUGGGAGGUUUCAUUCACAAGACUCAGGUUUUCCCUUAUCUGCUAAAAUGCUUUGGUCUAGAAUUUCCCUGGGAGUAUCAAGUUUUAUCCUCUCUAAAGAAUCUUGAGGCAUUUUUACAUAUUUAAAAUCAGAAACAUAUUUGUCUUUUUCUACUCUCAGGGCCAUUUUUACACUUGCCACUCUUGCUUACGAAUACCAACAAGGACGGCGCCAUUGUUGCUGCAAGUUUUCUCAGGCCCUGAGGUGAGCUAGGAAAGGACAUCUGCGUGAACGUUCCUGCCACCUAGGCAGGCUAUCAGCCCUGAAGAUGAGUCUCAGCCUCCAGAGCUUCCUAGGCUUGGCAUGUUGAUCUGCUCCUGGAGUUUGUCAAGGAAAAGCAACACACACUAUGUUUGUGGACCAGUCAGUGCCUUUCCUCUGAAUUCAAGCCAUUCAAACAAAUCAACUCAGGAAAAUAUACAGUGACUCCUGGUUCAAGUUUCCCCAAGAAUACCAGAGUUCCUAUAGGAUAUGACCACAUGAAAUGGAACCUGACAGCAGAAAAACCGUUGAUGUCCUCUGUCCAGGUUCAGAGGGAGCACAGAGUUCACAUCCCCACCUUCAACACCGAUGGAAGGCAUUGUGAGUGCCCAUGGCCCCAGGAGGAAGCCAGAAAGUUCACUGAGAAUUGGAUGGGGACAGUGACCUGAGACUCUGGAUGGUGCUUCUUCCAGGUCUCUCAACAGCCAGGAAUGCAGUGUCAGGAAUGGGUCAGAAUGGAGUCCUCGGCACCAGCCCAGGCUGAGGUGGGGAAGGCCUGGUGAGGUCUUGGGAGGUUGGCCAGGACUGAUGGCUUUCAGUUCAGUAGAGGGAGGAGGCCCAACAACCGUCCCAAUCCAAACCAAACUUUCCAGCUUGGCCUAACGCAGGAGACAGGAGACAUUACCCACACCAUGUCUGUGCAAAGGAAACCCACUCCAAGAUGGCUCCGCCAAAGUCUACCAAGUCUCCUCGGAGUGGAUAGUGAGCUGGCCUCUAAAAACCUUAGUUUUUUUAAAAAAAUGUUCAUUCCCUUUAUCUUCUUGAGAAUUCACAAAGGACAAAUAUACCCUGUGACAAGUCUCCCUCUCACCCUAUCCCUAGCUAGCCAGGCCCCCUCCCUGGGGACAGUGACAUAAGGGGCCUCGUGCACAUGACUUCCUGGCACUCCCUUCCUUGUAAGAAGGGUCCUCUGAUGAGUGAAGGGUACCUCUUUGGUCUCCUCUGGCUCACAUACAGGCAUGUAGAAAAUUCCAGUCUCUUUCAGUGUCUUUAUUCCUUGGGAAGCCCCAGGACACUGUUCCACGUGGCAUGGAGAAAGAGAGCAUAAAACUGCACAUCUCCAGCAUCUGGCAGAUGGCACACAUGCAAUGUUUUCUUCCACCAAACAUCAAAUGAGCUCCUUUUCUGUGCAAACUUGCUAGAUGCUGCAGAAGAGGAAGCCAUGAACGAGCAAGUCAUGCUCUCCUUUCGCAGGAUGUUAGACCUGGGUGAGGUUGGGACCCACCCUCUAGUUGAUGGGGAGACAAGCAAGAGAAAACAAAGGAGUGAAGAGGAGGAGGCAGCAAGACUACAGGCAAAACCUUGAGAACUGAUGCAACAGGGGCCGGGAAAGGAGAGAGGGAGCUUGUUCCCUAUGGAUUGGAGCCACUCUACAGCCCUACCAUUUCAUCUUCACAGCUACUUAAAUGUGGCAUUUCCUUCUCCACACCUGGCUGAGGUGGGGCCAAGGGAAGAGGAUUCUAGAACAAGAUUUAAUGGGCCCUGUCUUGGAUCAUGGUCAGUUGAGGAUGGCCCUGGAAUCUUCUCAGCCAGACUGUGUAUCCCUUGAGGUCAGGUGUGGACAGAACAAGUGGCUGCAUGUUUCAUUCAUCAUUACCAGACAAACAAGUAUUAUUUUCCCAUUUCUGAGACAAGGAAACAGAAUCAGAGAGGUUAAGUAACUUGCUCAAGGUUGCUCUGCAGGCUAGAGUCAGAGCUAGCUGGAUCAGGAACCCAGGGCUGUCUGGUUAUUCCAGCUCAGAUCUCUUUUCCCCCCUCUAGGCCUUGUUCACCUUGAUGCUCCUUGAUAUCCUUUUUGAUGACUGAUUUGAUUUUUGUGUAAAUUAGGGGUUUUCCAUGUUCCCAACUUUUAACUUCAAAACCUAAGCCCAAUUUCACAGCCUUUCCACAUGUUGGGAUAGCAAGUUGUGACUGUGCCCCCCUCUGCAUGUUUCUUAAUCACUGUGCUUCAAAUGUGCUCAGAAAAACAAAGGUAUCUUUCACGUUACUUCCUGGUAAAACAACUCUGCAUCUGGUGUUGCUAAAUUCUAGAGCAAUUUGUCCCAGUUGUUAUAAGACUGAUUUCAUUCUCAUUUUAAAAUUUGAGUUUUUAUAGGCAUACACACUAACCUGACGACUUUGUACAUCUCAUUAAUAUGUUCAAACUCAAUUUGUGAUGAAUAUAGAUCAUGGUUCUUGUACUUAUGUGCAGAAGAGAGCACAUAUGUGUCCAUUUACUAAGUUAUUAAACAUGCCACACAUGCUAGCAUCAGGCGAUAACUCUCACUAUUAAUGUUUCCAUUUCCAAAACAGAUACAUAGAAUAAGGCCCACAUUCCCUUCUGGUCAAGUGGGUUGUAGAGACCUGGGCCAUUCCACUGUACGGCCUUGGUGUGUUAUUAUAGCCUCAAAAUUCUCAUAUUUCUAUAUGUGUAAGCUCUGUCAUGGUUUGGAUAUUUGUAAUGAUAGGAGCCUGAAUAGGAAAAAUCUUCUAGGAAAUAUUUCUAGAAAGAUCUAGGACCACUAUGGGAAACUGAGACCCACACCCCGCCCCGUAUCAGUACACCUUGGCAACUAUCUAUCGUGGUUCUGAUGUCUUCUAAUCCCUGCAUAUGCCUUCACUUGCCUCCGUAGCACUCAAUGAAAUGUUCCAGAAUCUUCUAUAUGAGAAUACACCACUCACUUAAGCACACCCCACCAAAGGAAAAUGCUAACAAUAGUGUAGCCAGCUUCCAAGACAAACUAAAAUCUACUCACAGCCUCACCCAUACUUAUCAGUGUCAAAGCAAUGAUGCAUCUAAUGAUGAUAAACAUAUGCUUGAGGAAGAACAGAUCUUUAGAGCAAGGAGGGAUGAUGAAAAUGAGGUAGAGAAGGCAUUUCUUAAGGCUGUGACUAGAAUCUAGGUCUCUGAGCUGCUCGCCAGGACCAACUAAUGGGUACACGGCUCAAGUUCAAAUUCGAUUUUUCCUCCUUCUCUAAAUGUAUUAGUUUCCUAUUACUGCUGAAACAAACUACUACAAGUUUUGAGACUUAAAACCACACAAAUGUAUCAUCUUACAGUUCUGGAGGUCAGAAGUGUGAAAUGAGUCUCAAAGGGGGCAAGAAGCAAGGUGGCAUCACUAUCACAAUUUCUAGAGACAGUAGGGAAGAAUGUGCUUCUCGACCUUUCUUUCAGCCUGAAUUCUUAAACUUCUUCCCUCUUCACAGCUCCUGUUCUGAUUUUUACCCUCUUGCCUUCCUCUUGAUGAGGGUCUGUGUGAUUAUAAUGUGCUGACCCAUCCAGGGUAAUCUCAUUUCCAAAGUUACAUCUACAAAGUCCCUUCUGAUGUGUAAGGUAAAAUAGUCACAAUUCCAGGGGAUCAGGGGGUGGACAUCUCUGGGGGACAAUUAGGACAAGCCUACCCCACUACACACAAGCCUCUCUAUUGCCCACAAAAAACAUUCUCCAGUUUGAUGGCGCUCCUGAAAUGCAAAGCUGGGUAGAGAAGUAGGAAGAGGAAAGUUAACACUUUUUGUUUGAAUGGGCAUAAUCCACAGCCCAACAGAAGUCAGAAAUUGAAGCACAUGACUAUGUCCAUUAGUACUACACACAGGUGUGCAAUGACGAAACAGCAAAUGACAGAUUUGGCCUCAAAAUAAAGUAACUUGUAAGAUACAAACCUGAAGAACUUCCAUCAAAAUGGAAAAAGGCAAAAUACCUAAACAAGAAACCACCAAAGACAUCACUGCCAUUUACCUUCAACCCUCAGCCAGGGACUUGGCAUGACAUGUUCCAAGUGGACGGGUAUCAUCCACAUAGGCUCUGCUCAUCUACUCCAAGGCAUUUUGAAACCUUUCAUAGGAUCUCUUAUCAUCUCAGCACUUGGAGUUUUCUUGAUAAAUAUCUUGCUGCAACGAACAUUAUCACAAGUACAUCUUGACACAAAUACACUCCUGCUUAUUUUCUUAGGAUAAAUCCUUAGAAGUGGUACUUCUGGAUCAACGGGCAAACAGGGCUUAUUUUAUAGCCUUAUGAUGAGGAUUACCAACCAGCUCUCAUAAAAGUAGCAACAAUUUACACACCCAACAAGUCUCCAGUUUUAUCUGCUUUGUACACAGACACUUCCCUUAACUUUGUUAAUCUAAUCAAUAAAAAUGGUCUCUCA